rnacentral:rRNA from 1 species
CGGGUGAGUAACACGUGGAUAACCUACCUAUAAGACUGGGAUAACUUCGGGAAACCGGAGCUAAUACCGGAUAAUAUUUUGAACCGCAUGGUUCAAAAGUGAAAGACGGUCUUGCUGUCACUUAUAGAUGGAUCCGCGCUGCAUUAGCUAGUUGGUAAGGUAACGGCUUACCAAGGCAACGAUGCAUAGCCGACCUGAGAGGGUGAUCGGCCACACUGGAACUGAGACACGGUCCAGACUCCUAGGGAGGCAGCAGUC